GACGAACGCUGGCGGCGUGCUUAACACAUGCAAGUCGAACGGAAAGGCCCUGCUCUUGUGGGGUGCUCGAGUGGCGAACGGGUGAGUAACACGUGAGUAUCCUGCCCUUGACUUUGGGAUAUCUUCACGAAACUGGGGCUAAUACCCGAUAGGAGCUCCUGCUGCAUGUUGGGGGUUGGAAAGUUUCGGCGGUUGGGGAUGGACUCGCGGCUUAUCCGCUUGUUGGUGUGGUAGUGGUUUACCAAGGCUUUGACGGGUAGCCGGCCUGAGAGGGUGACCGGCCACAUUGGGACUAAGAGAGGGACCAGACUCCUACGGGAGGCAGCAGUGGGGAAUAUUGCGCAAUGGGCGGAAGCCUGAUACAGCAACGCCGCGUGCGGGAUGACGGCCUUCGAGUUGUAAACCGCUUUCGCCUGUGACGAAGCGUGAGUGACGGUAAUGGGUAAAAAAGCACCGGCUAACUACGUG
rnacentral:rRNA from 1 species